rnacentral:rRNA from 1 species
GUUAGCGGUGAAAUGUGUACAGAUGGGGAAGGACACCAAUGGCGAAAGGGUCUCUCUGGUCCGUAACUGUCGUUAGGAGCGAAAACGUGGGAGAGGGGUCAGUUUAGACCCCUGUGUAGUCCACGCCGUAACCGAUGAGUCCUAAGUCUUGGGGGGUUUCUCUCUUUAUUCCACCCCUAUCCAUUAUUCCCAACGCCCCUGGCGUACGGUCCCAGGGUGAUACUCUAAGAAUUUAACGGGGGCCGCACAACCGUUGGGCCAUUUGGUUCAUUUCGAGGCAACGCGAAGACCCUUUCCACCUCUUGACAUCCUCUAACAUUCCAGAGUUAGGGGUUUGCCUUCGGGGGCAAAGCGCCAGUUGGGACAUGUUGGUGUUCAUCCCUGUAAAAAAUUUUGGGUUAAGUAACGCAACGUGCGCAACCCUUGUUCUUAGUUUCCAGCAUUCAGUUGUGCCCUCUAAGGUGACUGCCGGCGCCAAACCGGAGGAAGGUCGGGAUGACGUCAAAUCAUCAUGCCCCAUAUGACCUGGGCUACACACGUGCUUCAAUGGGCAGAACAAAGGGCAGCGAAACCGCGAGGUUAAGCCAAUCCCACAAAUCUGUUCUCAGUUCGGAUCGCAGUCUGCAACUAACUGCGUGAAGCUGGAAUCGCUAGUAAUCGCGGAUCAGCAUCCCGCGGUGAAUACGUUCCCGGACCUUGUACACACCGCCCGUCACACCCCGAGAGUUUGUAACACCCGAAGUCGGUAAUAGUAUCCUUUUAGGCGCACAUGUCUAUUU